GCUCAGUUGGUAGAGCAUGGUGUUUGCAACGCCAGCAUGGUGUUUGCAAUGCCAGGGUUGUGGGUUCGAUUCCCAC
rnacentral:tRNA from 1 species